UAUAGUUGUGUUUAAUAUGAAUUGUGAAUUUGAGCUCGAUCUAACGGUUGAAUUGAGGAAUAUUGAGGUUUAAGUGGGUCAAGGUCUCAAAAAGUGGAAUUUUAGGUCUAGUAGGGGUUUUUAAGAUUUCUUGAAAUCUACUAGUUGAAUUGGAGUGAAACUUAUAUGAGAGAAUAUUAGACUUGAUUUUUUAUGUGUAUAAAAUUUUUGGAAUCAAUCGAACAGUGAAAAAGAGAGAUAUUGGCUCUGGAAGAUUGGUAUUAAGAUUGGAGAAGGAGGCCAGCCAAUACCCGAGCACAUUUUUGAAGUUAUCAUCAAUUUAUAACUCCGAUCCUUUUUAAUUUUUUUGUGCUUGUUUUCAACUUAUUUUUUAAGAAGUGUGCAAAAUUUGAAUUAAGAUCAACGGUUUAUUCAUUAGUUAUUGAGGUUUAAAUCUUUUAUAGGAAUUACUAGGGUUUGGUUUAGGGUUUGGUUAGAUUUUGGUUUUGGAUUUAGGAUUUGGAUUAGGAUUUGAUUUAAGAUUCAGGAUUUGGUUAGGAUUUGAUUUAAGAUUUAGGAUUUGAUUAGAGUUUGGUUUAGGAUUUAGGAUUUGUAUUAGGAUUUGGUUAGGAUUUUAUUUAGGAUUUGAAUUAAGAUUUGGUUUAGAAUUUAGGAUUUGGAUUAGGAUUUGGAUUAGAAUUUGGUUAGGAUUUGAUUUAGGGUUUUGGAUUUGAUUAAAGAUUUAGUUAGGAUUUGGUUAGGAUUUGGUAUAGGAUUUAGUUGGGAUUUGGUUUAAAAUUUGUUUAGGAUUUGAUUUAGGGUUUAGGAUUUGGUUAGGAUUUGAUUUAGGGUUUAGGAUUUGAUUCAGGUUUGGUUUAGGAUUUAGGAUUUGUAUUAGGAUUUGGUUAGGGUUUUAUUUAGAAUUUGGAUUAGAGUUUGGUUUAAGAUUUAGAAUUUGAAUUCUAGGAUUUGGUUUAGGAUUUGAUUAGGAUUUGAUUAGGAUUUGGUUUAGGAUUUGGUUGGAAUUUGGUUUAAGAUUUAUUAAGGGUUUGAUUUAGGUUUUAGGAUUUUAUUAGGAUUUAAGAUUUAAUUAGAUUUGGCCUAAAGUUUGAAUGAAGUUCAAUAGGAUUUUAACUAGAAUUAAAUUAAGAUUGAAUUGAGAUGUAUUUGAGAGAUGUUUGAGAUCAUUCUAAUAUUUCUUUAAGUUUUUUUAUUGUUUCUUUGAAAUUUCUUUGAGUUUUUUUUGAAUUUGAUUAAAGCUUGAUUAAUAUUAUUAUGGUCUAAUUAGAGUUUAGUUAGUAUUCUAUUAUAUUUAGGAUUUUAUUGUUGUAAUUUUCAUUCUACCUUCCACAACUAGGUGCUCGGAGCGUUCUCAAGCAAGACUUCACGUAUUACGACAACGAUAAUUGGACUUGAGGUGCCUUCUAGAUAAUGAUGCCAUUCUUG
rnacentral:lncRNA from 1 species